GAUGAACGCUAGCUACAGGCUUAACACACGCAAGUCGAGGGGUAACGAGAGGGAAGCUUGCUUUCCUUGUCGACGACCGGCGCACGGGUGAGUAACGCGUAUCCAACCUGCCCCCAACUAGGGAAUAACCUUGCGAAAGUAAGACUAAUACCCUAUAAUUUCCUCAGAUGUCAUCUGACGAGGAAUAAAGAUUUAUCGGUUGUGGAUGGGGACGCGUCUGAUUAGCUUGUUGGCGGGGUAACGGCCCACCAAGGCAACGAUCAGUAGGGGUUCUGAGAGGAAGGUCCCCCACAUUGGAACUGAGACACGGUCCAAACUCCUACGGGAGGCAGCAGUGAGGAAUAUUGGUCAAUGGGCGGAAGCCUGAACCAGCCAAGUAGCGUGCAGGAUGACGGCCCUAUGGGUUGUAAACUGCUUUUAUACAGGAAUAAAGUUAGCCACGUGUGGUUAUUUGUAGGUACUGUAUGAAUAAGGACCGGCUAAUUCCGUGCCAGCCGCCGCUGUAA
rnacentral:rRNA from 1 species